UACAGAGGGAUAGCCCAGAGAAAUUUGGAUUAAUACUUCAUAGUAUAUAUCAUUCGCAUGUUUGGUAUAUUAAAGUUCCAACGGUAAAAGAUGAGCAUGCGUCCCAUUAGUUAGUUGGUAAGGUAACGGCUUACCAAGACGAUGAUGGGUAGGGGUCCUGAGAGGGAGAUCCCCCACACUGGUACUGAGACACGGACCAGACUCCUACGGGAGGCAGCAGUGAGGAAUAUUGGUCAAUGGACGCAAGUCUGAACCAGCCAUGCCGCGUGCAGGAAGACGGUCCUAUGGAUUGUAAACUGCUUUUGUACGGGAAGAAACACUCCUACGUGUAGGAGCCUGACGGUACCGUAAGAAUAAGGAUCGGCUAACUCCGUGCCAGCAGCCGCGGUAAUACGGAGGAUCCAAGCGUUAUCCGGAAUCAUUGGGUUUAAAGGGUCCGUAGGCGGUUUAAUAAGUCAGUGGUGAAAUCUGGUCGCUCAACGAUCAAACUGCCAUUGAUACUGUUAGACUUGAAUUACUGUGAAGUAACUAGAAUAUGUAGUGUAGCGGUGAAAUGCUUAGAUAUUACAUGGAAUACCAAUUGCGAAGGCAGGUUACUAACAGUUGAUUGACGCUGAUGGACGAAAGCGUGGGGAGCGAACAGGAUUAGAUACCCUGGUAGUCCACGCCGUAAACGAUGGAUACUAGUUGUUUGGAGCAAUCUGAGUGACUAAGCGAAAGUGAUAAGUUCCCACCUGG
rnacentral:rRNA from 1 species